rnacentral:lncRNA from 1 species
CUUCAGACUAGCAGAGGGUUCUUCUCCAGAUAGAUGUUUCCCAAAUGGGAGCUCCAGCCCCGGGCAGGCUUCUGGCGUGGAGACAUAACGGUGACGCGAAGGAAAAGCGAUGUGUCUAAGGGAGAGUCCAUCCCUGGCCAAGCGGCCAGACAUCUAUCCCUACAGCCCCACCCUGAAGCUAAAGUUGGCUGCAGCAUUUCCUCCGAAGUUUAAGCUGCAUACUGCCAGUAACCCUUUAUAAAAACGACGGCCGAGUGGCUUGGCACGCUUUGGAUUCCUGGAUCGUUUUGUGUUUUGCCUGCAUGUAUAUCUGUGCACCAGAAGCAUGCAAUGCCCUUGGAAGUCAGAGGAGGGCAUCAUAUCCCCUGGAACUAGAGUUACAGAUGGUUGUGAGUCGCCAUAGUCUCAUGUAGCCCAAGCUGCCCUCCAUCUCAGUAAGUAUCUGGGGAUGACCUUGAACUUGUGAUCUACCUUCCUCCAUCUCCCAAAUGCUGGAAUUACAGUCUUCCUAAAGAUGACAAGACCACGGUUGGCA